GCUCUGCUUUUUCCUUUCAUCUCCUGAGAUUUGUUCUGUUUUUCUUGGAAACAAACCAUCUGCAAACUGAUCACAAUCAGUGACCUGAUACCCACCCACAAGCUUUCCAGGUCUGAUACCCAUGUGUGCUUCCCAGGAGGCCUGCAGUAAUAAAAAGCACAGUAUUAUUGCCUGGAGUUUAAGACAGAAACCCACACUGGAGCCUUUGGAGGAUGUUUCAGAGGAAUGUUGAAGUAGUUGGCUCUAGAAAGGAGUGCCAGCUCAUCUAUUUCCAAGUUCACAAUGCUCUGAUACUGUAGCUGAGGUUCAAUGGAGUGAUUAUACAAGACAUCAAUGAAAGAUACUAAUUGAAGCUCUCAGCAUUGUCCUUCUGCUGAUUUUCUCAUAGUUUCUUGCAAGGAGUGCUGCAGAUACCGAACAAUUCUCAAGGCUUGAACUGAGGUUGCUGUGCAGUUUAGAAGCGCU
rnacentral:lncRNA from 1 species